AUCCGCCGACGUUCCUCCGAUGACUCGGCGGGGAGCUUUCCCCGGGAAACCAAAGCUUUUGGGUUCCGGGGGAAGUAUGGUUGCAAAGCUGAAACUUAAAGGAAUUGACGGAAGGGCACCACCAGGGGUGGAGCCUGCGGCUUAAUUUGACUCAACACGGGGAACCUCACCAGGCCCGGACAUUGGAAGGAUUGACAGAUCGAUAGCUCUUUCUCGAUUCAGUGGGUAGUGGUGCAUGGCCGUUCUUAGUUGGUGGAUUGAUUUGUCUGGUUAAUUUCGAUAACGAUCGAGACUCUGACCUAUUAACUAGACGUCCGGUAUACACAGCUACCGGCGAUAUUUAUUCUUCUUAAGGGGACAGGCGGCUCCCAGCCGCACGAAAUUGAGCAAUAACAGGUCUGGAAUGCCCUUAGAUGUUCUGGGCCGCACGCGCGCUACACUGAAGGAAUCAGCGUGUGCAUCCCUGUCCGAAAGGUCCGGGUAACCCGCUGAACCUCCUUCGUGCUAGGAAUUGGGGCUUGCAAUUGUUCCCCAUGAACGAGGAAUCCCCAGUAAGCGCAGGUCAUAAGCCGGCGUUGAUUACGUCCCUGCCCUUUGUACACACCGCCCGUCGCUACUACCGAUUGAAUGAUGUAGUGAGGUCUCCGGACCGGCGAGAGCCCGGCGCCGACUUGUUCGGUAUCGAUCUCGCUGGAAAGAUGACCGAACUUGAUCAUUUAGAGGAAGUAAAAGUCG
rnacentral:rRNA from 1 species